rnacentral:rRNA from 1 species
ACCCUGGUAGUCCACGCCGUAAACGAUGUCGACUUGGAGGUUGUGCCCUUGAGGCGUGGCUUCCGGAGCUAACGCGUUAAGUCGACCGCCUGGGGAGUACGGCCGCAAGGUUAAAACUCAAAUGAAUUGACGGGGGCCCGCACAAGCGGUGGAGCAUGUGGUUUAAUUCGAUGCAACGCGAAGAACCUUACCUGGUCUUGACAUCCACGGAAGUUUUCAGAGAUGAGAAUGUGCCUUCGGGAACCGUGAGACAGGUGCUGCAUGGCUGUCGUCAGCUCGUGUUGUGAAAUGUUGGGUUAAGUCCCGCAACGAGCGCAACCCUUAUCCUUUGUUGCCAGCGGUCCGGCCGGGAACUCAAAGGAGACUGCCAGUGAUAAACUGGAGGAAGGUGGGGAUGACGUCAAGUCAUCAUGGCCCUUACGACCAGGGCUACACACGUGCUACAAU